GAAAAUAAUAAAAUUAAGAUGGCUGAAUUCUAUUUAGCUACUUUAGUUUCAGCGUCCUUAAAUUGUGCAUACUUGC